AAGUAGUGCCUAUGCGCUAUUUAGUGGCAAACGGGUGAGUAACACGUAGCUUAGCUGUCCUAAAGUGGGGGAUAGCCGCGGGAAGCCGCGGGUAAUACCGCAUGUGAUCUACGGAUUAAAGCUUAAUGCGCUUUAGGAGGUGGCUGCGGCCCAUCAGGUUGUUGGCGGGGUAAUGGCCCACCAAGCCUAUGACGGGUAUCCGGCCUGAGAGGGUGAUCGGACACAUUGGAACUGAGACACGGUCCAGACUCCUACGGGAGGCAGCAGCUAGGAAUUUUCCGCAAUGGACGAAAGUCUGACGGAGCAACGCCGCGUGAAGGAUGAAGGUCUUUAGGGAUUGUAAACUUCUUUUAUAUGAGACGAGUAAGGACGGUAUCAUAAGAAUAAGUCCCGGCUAACUACGUGCCAGCAGCCGCGGUAAUACGUAGGGGGCUAGCGUUGUUCGGAAUUACUGGGUAUAAAGGGUGCGCAGGCGGAUUUCUAAGCAAGAGGUGAAAUGUCAAGGCUCAACCAUGGCACUGCCUUUUGAACUGGUUAUCUGGAGUACAGAAGGGGAGAGCAGAAUUUCCGGUGUAGGGGUGGAAUCUAUAGAUAUCGGAAGGAAUAC
rnacentral:rRNA from 1 species